rnacentral:rRNA from 1 species
AGAGUUUGAUCCUGGCUCAGGACGAACGCUGGCGGCGUGCUUAACACAUGCAAGUCGAACGGAAAGGCCCUUCGGGGUACUCGAGUGGCGAACGGGUGAGUAACACGCGGGUGAUCUGCCCUGCACUUUGGGAUAAGCCUGGGAAACUGGGUCUAAUACCGAAUAUGAUCACGGGCUUCAUGGUCUGUGGUGGAAAGCUUUUGCGGUGUGGGAUGGGCCCGCGGCCUAUCAGCUUGUUGGUGGGGUAAUGGCCUACCAAGGCGACGACGGGUAGCCGGCCUGAGAGGGUGACCGGCCACACUGGGACUGAGAUACGGCCCAGACUCCUACGGGAGGCAGCAGUGGGGAAUAUUGCACAAUGGGCGCAAGCCUGAUGCAGCGACGCCGCGUGAGGGAUGACGGCCUUCGGGUUGUAAACCUCUUUCAAUAGGGACGAAGCGCAAGUGACGGUACCUAUAGAAGAAGGACCGGCCAACUACGUGCCAGCAGCCGCGGUA